rnacentral:rRNA from 1 species
UGAGCAAUCUGCCCUUCUCUUCGGAAUAAGCGUUGGAAACGACGUCUAAUGCCGAAUACGACCUCCUUUCGCAUGAUCGGAGGUGGAAAGCUCCGGCGGAGAAGGAUGAGCUCGCGGCCUAUCAGCUAGUUGGUGUGGGUAAUGGCCCACCAAGGCGACGACGGGUAGCCGGCCUGAGAGGGUGACCGGCCACACUGGGACUGAGACACGGCUCAGACUCCUACGGGAGCAG